rnacentral:misc_RNA from 1 species
GAUGAAGAACGUAGCGAAAUGCGACAAGUAAUGUGAAUUGCAGAAUUCCGUGAAUCAUCGAAUCUUUGAACGCACAUUGCGCCCCCUGGCAUUCCGGGGGGCAUGCCUGUCCGAGCGUCAUUUCUGCCCUCCAGCCCGGCUGGGUGUUGGGCGCUGUCCCCCCGGGGACACGCCCCAAAGGCAGUGGCGGCGCCGCGUCGGGUCCUCGAGCGUAUGGGGCUUUGUCACCCGCUCGGGACGGACUCGUCGGCGCUGGUCUUCCUCCAGGCGACCCUUCGGGGCUCGUCUUCCUUCGGUUGACCUCGGAUCAGGUAGGGUUACCCGCUGAACUUAAGCAUAUCAAUAAGCGGAGGA